UUCCUUAUAGUUCCUUAUAGAUGGGGCUGGUCUAAAUGGCAAAUAGACAGCAUGGGACCUCCUGGAUCCCCCUCUGUAUGUGCCCCUGGCUUCGUUCCUGCUGCUCCCACACUGCACCUUAUGCUCGGGCCUGAUCUUUGUUUGUGGAUUCCUGGACCAGCCUCACUGUUGAACACCCAUUAGAGACUUGAACAAAAGAUGAGGUGAGGCCCGAGGACAGAGCAAAGGCAGACACGGACAACAGAAAUUUCCAGGAACCAUGAGAGGAAAACAAGCACCCCCAAAGCUACGGCACAUGCCAGAAGAAAUGUGUAAUUUGCUUAGAAGAACUCAUUGUCCUCUGCAUGCUUUUCCAGGAAGGCCUCUGUAGAGGAAAGACUUUCUGGUCACUUGAGGAAAUAUGUGCUUGGGAUAUUGGGGCAAUGUUUCAGUGGGCAGAAGUGGUAAAUGAGUAUGUAAGCCAUGCUGGGGACUCUCCCUUGCUGGUCGUGCCCCACCUUGAUCCAAAGUCAGCUCUCAUAUGAUCUAGAUUUGGCUCUGUUAAAAUUACGUCCCAGUGACCACAACAGAGCUCCUCGUUUAUUCAGUCGUCACACAGAUCUGAUUCAUUCAUUAUUCUGAAUCUAGACAAGAAUACUGAAGAAAACAGAAAAUAUCUAAGCCUCGAAAAUGCUGUCACCAAGACCAGCCUCAUAGCUCAUUUACCCUCCUUUGAGGGUAACCCCACAAGCCUUCAUUCGGGGACUACUGGUUUUUAUUUUCCAUAGAAUUCUAACAAACUGGAUGGCAGCGCAGGUAAAAUAACACGUCAGACGGACCUCUGCUGCGUUACUCACAGGUUGUUUUCUCUCUCUGAGCCUUGAGUUCUCACCUGGGAAAUGAAGCAGAGAUACUACCUCGGCGGGGAACACUGAGGAUUAAGUGCUCCCACAUUUGCACAAGUGCCUGACGCACAAUAAGGACUCGGCACAUGCUUUUCCAUGUGAAAGACUCCCUUCCAGACACAAAGGUAUUGACAAAGAAAUCCUAACUGUCCGACAGGAGACAGCAAACACCCUUGUGGUGGUCGGAUGUGAAGGGAUCUAGCUCCGAACACCUGACAAGGGCCCAAAAGCAUUUCACCAAGAAGAGCGUGAACUAUGCCCACUCAGUCCAUUACGUUCCAGAGGAUUCCACGUCAUCAAGAAAAGGUGAGGAAAUGGAGGUUCAAGAUCACACAGCCAGGAGCUGGGAUUGAGGCCAACAGUGAUUCUGCCUGAACCCUAAUCAAGCUGUUCCAAGGUGGCACCUACACUGUGCCCAUGAGGAGCCAGCAAAUGUGCCUUGAAAGGGCUGGUCAUUCUCGUGAAAGCACAGAUAUGCACAUUUGGCUUGUGCCACAGCAGUCCUCUCUCUGAAGGGACAGUUAUUAAAGGCCGGUUGAUGCUGGCCGCCAUAGAUAAGGGGCUUAGAAUGGAUUGGGACCAGAUUCUCUCCCCCUUCCACAUUUUCUAUCUCUGUUAUUACAGGCCUCAGGCUAUAGAAUCUUAACAGCUGGAGUCUUGGAAAACCCUCAGGAAUCAGGGGAAAACCAAAAGCAAAGGCUUUUCUCCUUGCUCAUAAAAACAAAAUACGUUACAAUCAAUUCUGUAUACCUGUUGUAGUUAUAAAGUUGGUAAAAAG